rnacentral:rRNA from 1 species
CCAUCCGUAAACGGUGUGCACUUGGUGUAGGAGGAAUUAUCCCCUUCUGUGCCGGAGCUAACGCGUUAAGUGCACCGCCUGGGGAGUACGGUCGCAAGAUUAAAACUCAAAGAAAUUGACGGGGGCCCGCACAAGCGGUGGAGCAUGUGGCUUAAUUCGAUGCAACGCGAAGAACCUUACCUGGGCUUGACAUGCGGCUGGAUGCCGGUCGAAAGAUCGGAGGCCUUCGAGGCUGCCGCACAGGUGC